UACAGAGGGUGCGAGCGUUAAUCGGAAUUACUGGGCGUAAAGCGUGCGUAGACGGUUAUGUAAGUUAGGUGUGAAAGCCCCCGGCUCAACUGGGGAGGGUCAUUCGAUACUGAUCGACUCGAAGGCAGGAGAGGGUAGUGGAAUUCCCGGUGUAGUGGUGAAAUGCGUAGAUAUCGGGAGGAACACCAGUGGCGAAGGCGACUACCUGGCCUGUUCUUGACGCUGAGGCGCGAAAGCUAGGGGAGCAAACGGG
rnacentral:rRNA from 1 species